CAUAGGUACGGACACUGCAUGGUGACCAUAUUAAAAGUGCCAAGGCACUGGUAGAGGAUGGACUUAUGGCGCAUUAGCUGGUUGGUGAGGUAACGGCUCACCAAGGCGACGAUGCGUAGCCGACCUGAGAGGGUGACCGGCCACACUGGGACUGAGACACGGCCCAGACUCCUACGGGAGGCAGCAGUAGGGAAUUUUCGGCAAUGGGGGGAACCCUGACCGAGCAACGCCGCGUGAAGGAAGAAGGAAUUCGUUCUGUAAACUUCUGUUAUAAAGGAAGAACGGCGGAUAUAGGGAAUGAUAUCCGAGUGACGGUACUUUAUGAGAAAGCCACGGCUAACUACGUGCCAGCAGCCGCGGUAAUACGUAGGUGGCGAGCGUUAUCCGGAAUUAUUGGGCGUAAAGAGGGAGCAGGCGGCGGCAGAGGUCUGUGGUGAAAGACUGAAGCUUAACUUCAGUAAGCCAUAGAAACCGGGCUGCUAGAGUGCAGGAGAGGAUCGUGGAAUUCCAUGUGUAGCGGUGAAAUGCGUAGAUAUAUGGAGGAACACCAGUGGCGAAGGCGACGGUCUGGCCUGUAACUGACGCUCAUUCCCGAAAGCGUGGGGAGCAAAUAGGAUUAGAUACCCUAGUAGUCCACGCCGUAAACGAUGAGUACUAAGUGUUGGGAGUCAAAUUUCAGUGCUGCAGUUAACGCAAUAAGUACUCCGCCUGAGUAGUACGUUCGCAAGAAUGAACUCAAGGAAUUGACGGGGGCCCGCACAAGCGGUGGAGCAUGUGGUUUAAUUCGAA
rnacentral:rRNA from 1 species